AUCUAAUGCAUAUUGGUCUUAAGUAUUAACAAAACAAUAUUAACUGUUUAGAGAAAUAACCAAACUUGCUAUAGUAUAGUUAUAGUAAAAAGGGUAGACCUAGUGCUGAAGGCUCCCACAUGAGUGAGGUCUAGGGAAGGGAUAAACUAAGGCAAGCCUUUCCUUCGCAAAUGCGGAGGGGCUGCUUUGAACCCGCGACCUAGUGACUGCACUAGGUCUACCCUUCUAACCUAACUUGCUAUAGUAUAAUACUUUAAUAUAAUUUCUUUUGGAUGCGGAUUACAAUUGUUACCAUAUUGGUGUUGGUUUUUCUUUCCCUGGACAAGGCCUUUAUGACAACAUGAAGGGCACUAUUUUUUUUUCGAAAACGCAGGAGAGCUGCGUAUCAUUAUAUUAAGAAGAAAAUGUGAGGUAAAAAGGAAAAACCUCUUACAAUGCCACACGAACCCACACACACUAAAGGAUAACUAGAAAUACAAUGAUAGUAUGAACAGCUAUACUCAUGAAGGGCACUAUUGUUAACACUAAUGUUUUUGUGCUGCUUUUAUAAUUUUUGGAAAAUUGCACAAAAGUCUGGUCCAUUGGUUAGUGUCAUUGUUUCUUUAUUCCAUAGAACUAAGAAUGUUAGUUAACUACUCGCAAACAAAAAGAAUGUUAGUUAAUUAAGAAAUAUUUGAAGAUAUAUCUCCUAAACACUUGUAUACAAAUUAUUGGUUUCCUAACUAGUCAUGCCUUGUAGCAAAAUUGAAUUUGUACUGUUCUCUUGUUCUGGUGCUUAAAGUUUAGGUCUAAAGUUACUUUGUUGGCUUGCUUCAUUUGGUUGCAUUUUAGAGGUGAUAGGACUUUUUGCACAUUUUCAUUUUUGUUUACAUUAGAAGGACGGGCCUAGUGUAGUGGUGAGAACUGUCUCACCGAGUCACCAGGUCACGGGUUCGAAGCAGUCUCUCUGCAUUUGCAGGGGAAAGACUUGUCUCGGAUUAUCCCGUCUCUAGACCCCACUCAUGUGGGAGCUACAUUGGGUUUGCCCUUUUUUAUUUUAGUUCAGAUUCUCAGUCAAAUUUAAUUAAGUAUGAAAAGAAUUUUUUUUCUCACUUCUGGUGUGAAGCUAUCUGCAAAAUACUAGAUUGUUUCCUUUUCAUCCUAUAUUUUGCAACAGUAUUAUAAUGCACACAUGUUCCAUGUAUGAGAACAAUCCAGCAUUCCAGCUACCAGUUACUUGGGUUUGAUCAAAUGGAUCCGUGGCCCAUGAGUUAUGGGCUUCUUGACUAAAGGUUGUCAGCUAUCAUAUUUAAAACAAGGUCGCUAUCAGUCUAUCUCUAUCACAUUGACUGCUGCCAGUCACAUUGUCUUGUCUUAGAAUUAUCCACUUGCUGUGGUCCAUAACUGUAUGAUCUUGGCCAAGUUCUGUAGGUUAAGCCGAUUGCCCAUACCUAUUGGCCACUGCUUCAAUAACCUGAGUGUGGUUGCCAAUAGCUACACAUCACUACUUCCAUAAUCUGAGUGUGAUUGCCAAUAGCUACAUAUCACUGCUUCUGCUUCCAUACUCUGAGUCCUAACCCUACCUAGAAAUAUAAAAAUGAAGUCCUGUAGUUCCAAGUCUAACUUAAAUGUUCCAUUCUAUUUCCUAUAACAUGACGUUUGAGUUGCAUUGACUUCAGGGGUUGGCGGGAUGGACGUCUCCUUGUCUCUCGCCGACGCCUUGCAUUGCCUUCCUGACGCUUUGACUCCCCACCAGCCCACGCUGGCAUCCACCCGGGUCCGGCGGCCACCCCUCACCUUCCCCACGCCGUCGUCAAUGCGGCCUCCCCAUCCAAGGCGUCUCCCCUCAUUUCCCCUGUCUCUGGCGGGUCUGCUCCGUGCGCCACCCAAGGGAGGUCCAAGUUACAGAGGUGGUUAGGCGACUUUUCUGGGUCUCGCGGUGUCGCUCCAACUCCUGCGGGGGAGGCUGAUCGGCCUACGUUUCGCGAUAUAAUCCUCUGUUCGUCGGCUUCACCCAGUUCUUCGUCGAGGCUUGCUGCUUCGGUUGCGCUCCCACCACUUGAGACCACUGCGUUGCCCCCUCCUUUGGCUGGACGCCUACGGUCUCGUGGUCUGGUUAGAGCGCCGGAGCCUCCUCAGGACGGCUUGAUUCGAGUGGAAUCCCGGAAGGCUAGGAGGCGUCGUUUGCAGCUCCCGCUCUCCGUCACCUCUGUUCCUCGGAACUUGUUGGGCCGGUGCUUCAACUGCUUCGCUGAAGAUCACUUUGCUGCGUCUUGUCGUUUGAGGACAAGAUGUCUCCGCUGCAUGGGUCUGGGCCAUAGUUCGUACAACUGCCAUGUUCCUGUUGGGAGGUCUGCCAGUAAGGUUCCAGUUCAUCGGCGGCUGUCCAAGGGACCUGUCUGGGGCAGACUCUCUCCGGUGGUCUCAGUAGACCCUGUCCGGCUUCCGGUAGCGCCCAAGGCCCACACCCGGGCAUCUGGUGGCUCUGUCUGGGACCGUCUUCGCCCACCGACGUCUCCUCCAGGUGGAGUUGAAGUCCGGAGGAUGGUUUGGCGCAGGGUCUCCCCACAGAAUGGGGGCAAUGGCUCUGGCCACGCGCUGGAGGCCUCUAGUGGGAGGACUCCUACGUUGGUUAUUUCUUCGUCUCCGGUGGAGCCGUCUCAUAUGGACGAUCCAGGCUUGCUAGGGACCCUCCCUCCCCGUCAUCGUCGUAGGCGUCAUCGCAAGCGUCGGUCCUCGAUCCGGGGUGGUUCUGAUCCUGGCCCCGAUCACAUUGAUCAACCGGGAGGUGACGAGACCCUUUUGGAUCAGUAUUCUGGUGUUAAGCAUGGAUCAUGUAUUAUUGGAUGGAACAAUCAUUUUUCCAAGGCGGUAGAUGACCUGGGGAAUGCGGUCUCUAUUUCGGUUAUUAGCGAUCUUCCUGUGACCACUGCUGACAUUUUGGAGGAGAUCGCUCUGAAGCUUGAAGUUGGGGCUGUUUCGUUAAUUCUAAGGCAGUCCUCCCCAUCUGAGUUCUUGCUUAUGCUACCCUAUGAGCACCAGGCUAUUUUUCUAACGGAUAGGAGGCACAUUAUCAGAUCAGGCUCCUUUUCUUUGCUGUGUAAGAGAUGGUCCAAGCUACUUGGUUCUUUAGGAUCCAACCUUAUCACUCCGGUUGAUUUUGAGCUUAGUGGCAUUCCGCUGCAUGCAUGGGAGCUUUCUACGGUCAACCAGAUUCUUAACCCUUUUGCUUGGGUUCAGGAGGUGCAUGCUGAUACUCUGGAAUCAAGAAGCCUUGAUGUUUUUCGGUGUUCUGGGUGGUGCUACGACCCUUCAACCAUUCCUUCUUCAUGGAACCUUUGGAUUGUUGAGCCACACGGCCUUCCCUCUGGCAAGGGGAGACUGGCCCUGGUAUACCAGAUCCAUAUUAAAGUGGUUGCCCAUCAGAGUGCAUUGCUCCCCCCUCCUCGGGACCCUGUGGUUGACGAUGAUUCCGCCAGGCAGCGGCGACGAUACCGUUCUCGUUCACCACCCCCAGACUUUGACGGUCGUGGAACCCCUGAUGUGGACAAUACUCACCGGGGUAGGCGGUCUGUCCUGCAUCGUUUGGGUCCGAUGCCCCAAAGAUGCUGAUGUUUCUGCAGAAGAUCUUCCUGGCGAUGUUUGGGUGACCUCUCCUGCUAUGGCGGUUCUGGGAGCAGAGCUUCCCCAGGGCAAUUAUGUCCCUGUCGAGGAGCUUGUUCCUGUGGAGAUGUAUGGAUCGGUUUCUGGCACCACAAACAUUGCUCCCAGCAAUUCAUGCAUUGUUCCUGGUGGUGUGAUUGAGGCGGUCACCGUGGCCCAGAAGCAGUGUUCCCCCAGGACGUUGUUGUUCCUAUUGAGGAGGUUGGUCCUGUUGAGCCCCUUGAACUGGAGGGAGAUGCACCCUUGUAUACUAUUAAUUCAACCAGCAGCAGCCUUGUUAUUGUCAUGGACAGCACAGGUGUUGCCCUCAUCAGCUCAGGCCUUGUCCUUGAUGGUAUGCUACAGACGGUCACCGUGUCUCCAGAAGCAAUGCUCUUCCAGGACGUUGUUGUCCCUGUUGAGGAGGUUGCUCCGGUUGAGCCCCAUGGACCGAUGGAUGUUGUACCCUUGUUUGCUAUUGCUUCGGCCAGCAGCAGCCCUGUUCUUGUUCCUCCUAUUUAGGACUUGUUUGAUCAGAGAUGGCGUCCUGAUCGCUGUUGUCUCAAUGUCUAUUCUCGAAGAUCGAAGGUUGGGUCAGAUCCAUCUAUUCUGGAGGAGCCGGUUGAGUCUUUGCCCCUGGAGGCCUUCAAACAAAUUAUCAUCAAACCGAUUAACGGGCUGCUCUCGCCACCUAGGUGCAAUUUGAGAAAAAAGAAGACACUGCCAAAGGAUUUCAUGCCCAGGAGGAGUAGAAGGGUGGCUAAGCUUCCUCUUGACCUCGGAAACGUUUCAGUUGCCAAGGUGUGCAGGCAUUUGGGGUAUUGUGGUGACCAUGAGGAAAUCUCCUUGGAAAAUGCUGCUAGAUAUGUCAAAUUAUUCGAGAACGGCCUCUCCAGAUCACAUGUGGAGGCUAUGGCUGCUUUGUUCGGCUGGGAAGUGCCGGUAGAGAUCCAGGUCUCAGCCUGACGCUGUUUGGUCGUUUUCUUCUAUAUUGUUAGUCAUGUAUCAGUCAAUUUUUCUAAUUUGGAAUGUUAGAGGUCUGAAUGAUAGAUCUAGAAGAGAUUGUGUGAAGUCUGAGGUCCUUAGUUCCAAGCCUCUGCUAGUCUGUUUGCAAGAAACUAAGCUGAGUUCCAUCUCUGCUUUUGAUGUCCUAUCUAUUUUGGGUGUUGGUUAUGGUAAUUUUGUCUUCUGUCCUGCUCAUGGGACAAGGGGGGCAUCCUGGUGGCCUGGCGGGAUGGAGCCUUUUCCUCCGCCAGCGGUAUUGUGCGUGAUUUCUCAGUCUCCAUUCAGCUUCAGGAGGAAUCUGGAUUGCAAUGGUGGUUUACUGGAGUUUACGGCCCGCAUCAGGACAAUCUUAAGCAGUUUUUUCUUCAAGAAUUGAGAGAUGUUAGGGAAUUGUGUGCAGGCCCUUGGGUUGUUGCUGGGGAUUUUAAUCAGAUCUUCUGCUCUGAGAACAAAAACAAUACCAACAUAAACAGAUCUUUGAUGGCAGGUUCAGGAGAUUUAUAAAUGAUAUGGGGCUGAAAGAUAUACCUCUCAUGGGUAGAAAGUACACUUGGUCCAACGAAAGGUCAUCCCCAACUCUUGUUAAGCUUGAUCACUUGUUUUGCACAGCUUGCUGGGAACAACUCUACCCGGACUGUAUUCUCCGCAGCAGUGCCACGAGGCUUUCAGAUCUCUGCCCUUUAACUCUCAGUCUCAAAGAAGAUUUUAAGGGAAAGCGCAGAUUUCACUUUGAAAGUUUCUGGACUAAGAUUGCUGAUUUCUUAGAUGUGGUGGCUGAUUCUUGGAUGCAGCCAGUUCAGACCUCCUGCCCUCUAAAGCGUGUAUCCUUGAAGCUUCGAAGAUUGGCUAGGUUGCAGUCCUGGGGGCACAAGAAUGCAGGCAAUGUGAAGUCCCAAUUGGCUUUAGCAAGGGAAAUCCUUCACAGACUCGAGAUGGCUCAGGAUAGCAGGCUGCUGUCUCCUGAGGAAUUAUGGCUCAUGAGGAGGCUUAAGCAACAUUGUUUGGCCCUCGCUUCUUUAGAUAGGACAGUGGCUCAUCUCAGAUCCCGUGUUAGAUAUCUGAAGGAGGGGGGUGCAAACACUUCUUUUUUUCACUUGCAGGCUUGCUACCGCAAGAAAAUAAACUUCAUCUCUAGUUUGACAGUCGGUGAUCAGGUGGUCACCUCUCAUGAGCAGAAGCAUGAAGCUUUGAAUGAUUUCUAUACCAACCUGUUGGGGGUGGCUAAACAUAGAGAAUUCACACUAAACUUGGGAUCUUGCCACAGGGACAUGGGCGAUCUAGGUGUAUUGGACCUCCCCAUCUCAGAGGAUGAGGUCCGGUUUGCAGUUUUCUGCCUACCUUCAGAUAGAGCUCCGGGUCCGGAUGGUUUUCCCCUCGGAGAUUCUAUAAGUCAUGCUGGCAUAUCAUUAAGGACGAUCUGCUUGCAGCUAUCAAUGCCCUCCAUCAAGGUAAUUCUCGGGGGCUGUGGCUGUUGAACUCAGCUUAUCUUACCCUCAUCCCCAAGAAGACUGAUGCCACAACAGCGGCUGAUUUUAGACCCAUAAGUCUCAUUCAUAGUUUUGCCAAAUUGGUGACCAAGAUUAUGGCUAACCGGUUGGCUCCUCUCCUGCCAAGGUUAUUGGCUGCAAAUCAGAGUGCUUUUGUGAGGGGAAGGUCUAUCCACGAUAACUAUAUGUUUGUUCAGCACUCGAUCAAGUCCCUUCAUCGGCGGAAGGUCUCUAGCCUAUUUUUAAAGCUUGACAUUACAAAAGCUUUCGAUUCAGUCUCUUGGGCUUUUCUCUUAGAGGUGCUGUCCCAUCUUGGCUUUGGUCUGAAAUGGUGCAACUUAAUCUCUAACCUAUUGGCCUCUUCCUCUACGCAAGUUCUUCUCAAUGGGGUCCCUGGUGAUCAUAUUUGGCAUCGGCGAGGUUUGCGUCAGGGGGAUCCUUUGUCCCCUAUGCUUUUUAUCAUUGUGAUGGACGUGCUUGGCAGCUUAUUUAGGCAUGCGGAAUCUAGAGGGCUGCUGCAUAGCUUGGGGGCUGCAAAUGUCAGGUCCAUGCUCUCCAUGUACGUAGAUGAUGUAGUUCUCUUUGUCAAGCCUCUGGAUGAUGAUCUAGCUUGUACCAAGUUGAUCUUUGACUGCUUUGGAGAGGCAUCUGGGCUGAUUGCCAACAUGAAUAAAAGUUGUGCAAUCCCUAUCUGUUGUGCUGCGUCUGUUGUGCAUGAAUGCUGCAGCACCCUGCAGUGUGUGCCUGCUGCCUUCCCAUGCACUUAUUUGGGCUUGCCGAUCUCCAACAAGAAACUGCGAAGAAGUGACCUCAUUGUUUGGGUUGAUAAGAUUGCUGCAAGGUUGCCUAACUGGAAAGCAUCCCUUCUUAAUCUCGCUGGGAGAACUAACCUUGGUUCGUUUUGUCCUCUCAGCCAUUCCAGUCUAUCUCCUCAUUGCUAUGAGCGUUCCCAAGUGGGUGAUCAAAGCUAUUGAUAAAAUUAGACGGGCUUUCCUCUGGAAGGGUAGAAAGGAAAUAAAUGGUGGUUGCUGCCUUGUGGCUUGGGAGAAGGUUACUAGGCCGCUGCAACUUGGUGGUCUUGGCCUCCUAAAUCUGCUUUACAGAAGCUGGGCACUGCAAGCCAGGUGGUUGUGGCUACCAAGGUUAUUAAAACGACGAAACGUUGAAACGCUCAUGGGUGAGUUUUAACUUUUAAACGGUUUAAACAAAGUUUAAACGUAGUUUUAAACAACAUAGGGAAAUUUCAAUAUAUCAUAAUUUCAGGCAAUUAUAUCAAGUCAAAUACCAAACAACCAACAUAAGUUCACAUAAUAAUAUUGUGCAAAAUGACAUGUCCACAACCACAUUACCACAAUAACACAACUUCAACUAAUAGCAAGUCGACAACUGCAAACAAAGUGGAAUGAGAUGUCUAAUAGUCCACAAUCACAAACAUAGCACAAAAGCAACUAAAGUACAAUGCCAUGUCCACAACCACAAGCACACAAGAGUUACUCAAACACUCAAUAACCAUCAUCCAAAUCAUCUAAACCAACAUCAUCCUUGUCUUGCUCAUCACCACGGCCACCACUGUUGUUUGUUUCUUCUUCAUCAUCCAUAUCAAGGUCGUCAAGCACAAAAUUGUCAUCGUCUUCAUUCUCAUCACCCUCAUCAACACCAUCUUCACCAUCCUCAAGAAUUGGCACUUGAGUACCAUGAGCUCUCCUAGGAAAGUAGCGGCCUUGAAGUUGUGUAGAUGCACCGAUGGCAUGAUCAACAAGCUCCCAUGUGAAAAGAGGGUCAUCCCCAACAACAGAUGAAUUAGCUAAUGGAUCAACCCACUCAUUGUCCUAAUCAAAAUCUUCAAGAACCAAAGGAUCAAAGUUCUUCCCUUCUUCACGCAUUUUUUGGAACCUAGCGGCCAUCUUUCUAUUGUAUGAAACAUACACUAAAUCAUUCAGUCUUUUGUGCUCUAGCCUGUUCCUUUUCUUGGUAUGCAUCUACAAGUUGCAAACAACAAUAAAUAAAGGAGUAACAACUACAAAUUGCAUAGUGUAAUAUGAUCAUGUUAGUUAACUUACAAAUUCAAACUUGCUCCAAUUCCGCUCACAACCGGAUGAUGAAGCACAAAGACUAACAAUUCGUCUUGCAAACUUAUAUAACUCAAUGGUUCGACCACCAUAUGCAAGCCACCAAUCAACUGAAAUGACAAAAUAGGUUGGAUUUAAAUGAUGGAAAUGAAGUUAUGAAUGCUGAAAGUAACAAUUAAAGUGGUACUUUUAGAAUACUCACGUGGGUUUCUUGUUUGAGCAUUUUUAAUAGCCAUUGGGUUUGCAAAUGCUUCUCUUUGGUUCUCAUAAAGGACUGCCUGAGCAUCAAUUUUGUCUCUAAGGUCCUCAUCUAGCACCAUUUUAACAAGUACAUCAUUGAAGCAACCCCUUAGCUCUCCAACAUAGCCUUCAUCAUCACUUUGCUUCAUGCUAUAGAAUUUCCCAGGGUUCAAGUAGAGUGCUGCUCCAUACAACGGAGUGUCCAUUUGUUUCACCCAACGGUUGUCAACAAUUUUCAUGAUGCGGUUUAGACAAGCUUUCUUGCUUUGAAUAGAGAAUGAUGAAGUAAUCUUUUGCUUUGCUAUCUUCAUAGCUGCUGCCACCUCAGGCAUGGCUGGCUUCUCAUCACCGUCAACCAAUCUGAGCACAACAAGUAGUGGUAAAGAAGCUCUAAGGCUCAACUGAAUGCCAAAACUCUGUUGAGAAAACAAUGCUAUAUACUUUUUUCCCUGCUUCUGUUUUAGAUACUUUGGAGCGAGUGAAAACAUCACCAGAAAAUAAUACUCUCAAUGGAUCCUUGUGCUUAUGUAUACUCCUCAAGGUGAGGAAUGCAGUAGCAAAUCUAGUAGCAGCAGGCCUCACAAGAUCCAUACCUUUUGUAUGCACCCUCAUCUCACUUAGAAUCCUCCCAUGUCUAUAUAUGAAUGUUGUGACAUGACGAGCACGUGCAAUAGGCUUCUUAAAAUCCUUUAGUUUUCCUAUGUCCUCCAGCAUAAGGUCUAAGCAGUGAGCAGCACAAGGGGUCCAAAACAAGGUAGGAGUGUUCUGAACCAAAAUGCGCCCUGCAGCCUUGUAGUUGGCACCAUUGUCAGUUACAACCUGUAUGACCUUAUCCCUGCCAAUCUGCUCAAUUCUCUUAUCUAGUAGCUCUGCAAGCAUCAACGCAUCAUGAGACUCACUCGAUGCAUCCACUGAUUCUAAAAAGAAUGUACCUUCAGGGCUGUUAACUAGGAAGUUGAUCAAAUGUCGACCCCUCCUGUCUCCAUCCAUCUGACAUGAGGGUGCAACCAUAUUGACUCCAUGCAUCCUCAUGCUUCUUCUCACCGUAUAUCUCUUUGACAACCUUCGCGAGUAAAGGUUCUCGUAGCUCAUGGAAACUAGGGGGUUUGAACCCCGUACCAUACUGUGCAAUGGCCUCUACAGCUACCUCAAAUUGUCUUGAGUUGGCAGCAUUGAAGGGUAUGCCACAACCAUAGAAAAACUUGGCUAUCUCCAUACAAACUUCUUUUUCUUCUUUGGGCUUCAUUGCAGCAUUGAUGGUUCUCUGAGUUGUCCCCUUGGCAUAUCUUUCCGCGACAACCUCUUGGGGUGUACGUCGGAGCAAACUUGUAAUGGGCUUUUUUGUUGCCCCAACGGUUGAUGCCUUGCUUGAUAAUUCCUUUCUUUUGUCGGUUGUUCCAGUGCUGCUGCCUCCUUUAGAUGAUGAACCAAUUACUUCCACAACAUCAUCAUCUUCAUUCUCAUGUGAUUCAACUUCAUCAAAGUAUUGUCCCUUUGGUCUAUCCCUUUUUCCUUCAUCCAAAGCCGCCUUUAACUCUCUAGCAAUUGCAGUUGUGGUAUUGGGACACUUGAGGAUAUCUUUGUAUCUGCCAACAAGAUGUUUCUUCACCCUUAGAAUUCCUCCUUUAAUUUGCCUCGGGCAAAGGGCGUCAACUCUCGCUUGCCAGGCUCUACAUAAUAGGCAUACUUCCAGCCUGGAUCAUCAGAUUUGGGUUUCCUUUUUGGAUCUUUCAGUGGAUUAUAUCCAUCACUUCGUAUUUGAGAGCCAGCUGCAGAUGCUUCUGUGCUAAAAUCAGCCAUUUCUCCUCCAAUCUAUUCUGCAAUAAUGGAAUGGUAGAUUUCGAUUAAUCAGGCUGAAUAGUUAGAGGAUGGUCUCUGCCAUUACUCACCAGUGAAGCAAAGCUAGAGGGCGGUCUCUGUAGUGGCCGGCGGACAGCGGGACAGGCCUGGAGCGCGGCCUGGAGCGGCGGGCUGGAGUAUCUGGACUCUGGAGUGCGGCUGAGCACGGGGGACGAGGUUGAGCGGCUGAGCACGGGGGACGAGGCUGAGCGGCUGAGCACGGGGAGGAGGCGGCAGCCUGGAGUGGCUUGGACCGGCGGUCUGUAGCGGUGGCCUGGAGUGUCUGGAGCGCGGCUCUGGUGAGCGAGAACCCUAAACCUGGGUGGGAAAUUGGGCUGGGCCAAAUUCUAGCAGCAGGCACAUUAAACGCUCGAAACGCGGCGUUUCACUCUAUACCGCGUUUAAACGUCAAAACACGACGUUUAAACGUCGUUAAACGACGUUUUACAAAGAAUUGUAAAAUGUUUCACCGUUUCACUUUCUAUCAGCGUCUUAAGUUUAAACGACGUUUAAACGUCGUUUUAAUAAGCAUGGUGGCUACAGAAAACUGACCCUAGCAGGUCCUGGAUUGGUCUUGAUAUCCCUGUUCAGCCACAAGUCAAGGCGUUGGUUGCCAUUUCAGUGAUCUCCCAUGUGGGAAACGGUAAUGAUACUCUCUUUUGGAUUGAUAGGUGGUUGAGCGGGAAUUCCGUCAAAGAUUUAGCUCCAUUGGUUUUCUCAAAGGUGGACAAGAAGUUAACUUCCACUAGAACUGUGGCCCAAGCCCUUAUUAAUGGUCAGUGGAUCAGAGAUAUCAAGUUACCUCUCACUCUGGUUGGAAUGCAACAAUACCUUCUCCUUUGGGACUCUAUUAGUGAGGUUGUUUUGUCUCCAGAAACUGAUCAACAUGUUUGGAGGCAUGAGGCAUCUGGGCAGUUCACUUCUAAAUCUUGUUACAAUGUUUUAUUUUCUGGUUUCAUCACCUUUGAGCCAUGGCAGCGGUUAUGGAAAUCUUGGGUGUCACACCCGGUUUUGAAGGUAAACCGAAUGCGAACCAUGUACGUGCCAGGAUCAGAAAUUCACGUACACAACGAUUACAUAAAUGACUCAGCAUAGCACAAUGCUUCGAAUUACAAUAAAGAGUAAGUAAUAUUAUUAAAGACUAGAGUCAUUUACAUAAUAUAAUCAAAGUACACAGAAUAGAAACGUAGCCAACGUAAAUAAACCCACCACAGGCAGCUGACUGGGGGAGGUCGCUAGCCUAAUCCUCGAAUUAGUCGAAGUCCUGGAACUCCUGGAGAUCCGCCUCGAUGCCUUCUUCUUUACCUGAGCAUAGAUUGCACCAAAGGCAACCUGGUGUUUUGUGAAAGUAAGGGUGAGUGCACAUCAACGUACUCAGCAAAUGUCCUGUUUGGCUGAGGUGGACUAGCUUUAUGUGGAGUUAAGCUCAAGCAGUUGCUUUUAGUUGGUCAGGUAUUUAUUAUUGGUAGAAGCCAAGUUUUAUCAUAUAACCAACCCAUGAACCAUUUCCUCAUCGAGGAAAAACAUUAUCAUCAUCGAGCCAAAACCAUAAAUAAAAGGGAAAUUUGGAUCCAUACCAUUAAAAGAUCACCACUUUGGAUCCAUACCAUUACUAUCUCACUUACAUGUGGGUCCACAUGAGUCAAUGACAUGUGGGGUCCAUGGUAUAUAUCUAAAGUUUGGAUCUUUUAAUGGUAUAGAUCCAAUUGUUCCUAAAUAAAAUCAUUGUAUCUCGAACCAUCUGUAUCUCUAAUCAAAGAGGAUCCCAAGGCCGCUCAUAACCGUGAGCACGACUGAUAUACCAGUUUCUAACCCUCUGCAAAGGUCGCACACUUUACCCACAAGCCGUGAUUCCCAUUCUGCCUGGAGAUCAUGACUCUCCAUUGAUCACUACCAAGGUGACCUAGCAGGGUCUCACUACGUAGCCUUUACAAAGAUUUCCCAGAGGUCAUAGCUGCCCGUUAGGUUUCUCCAGUUUGAUAAACACAGUACAUCUCCCCAAAGGAAGGGUGACUAACAAAACCAAAUCAAGAACCUCAGCAACCAGCCUCGGCAGAGCAAGUACUGUGCCCGGACCCCAUUGAUGGCCCUACGGCGAAGCCAACUACUCCUCUGGUUCCUCUAAUUAAUCAGCUAAGGGCGUCCCAUUCCACCCUCAUGGUUGCACUGUUAUCCCGGGUUGUCACUCCCCAAACAGGUCCUUACGGAGGUACUCAGGAUACAGCCUGAGCCCCCUAAAGUAUCACAAGAACAUCAUCGGGAUAACAUCAUCGUAUCAUAAUAUUCACAUCAUGUUCAUUGAUUAAGUAAAGCGAUAGCAUAAAGCUAAUCAUGAUAACCCAAAAGGUAAACGAGGAUAAGUAAAUAGAAAGGUAGUCAAUCCUUAGGUUUCAAUUAAGUAAUGCGGGACAAUGAAUUAUAAGUAGAUAGGACAUAAUGGGUCAGAGGACACUUGCCUUCACCAAAUAGAUGCUCAGGGUCUUCAACUUUGUAGAACUAGAAGAGCUAGAUCACUUGGUCGUCAACGCUUGAUCUUCGAUCCCUCGAAGCUCGGAAACGGAUCGCGAUCUAAUCGCAAGGCGAAGCGAAAACGAACAGACACAAGCAAACAAACAUAUACUUGCAUAAGAACAUUACACCAUACAAGGUAAAAUAUCAUAAUAACAAGCAAUAUAAAAUAGAGAGCGCUUCUACGGUUACGCGAGGAAGAAGAAACGCGACAUGCGGAGCUACGGUCUAGAAGUUAGCACGCUUACAUUAAACAAAUAUUAACUAUAACAUUUAAUUCGACAUUAUUAAAUAUAAAUAUUCUCCACCAUUUAGUUUCGAUUAAUCUGCUACACUAACAUCUAUCGGUUAAAUAAGUAAUUUAAAUAACAUCAACGACUCUAAGCGGGACGAAUUAGCGGAGCGAGACAAAAUACAUAACGCGUGAAACAGCACGACCGCACGCGACCUAGCGCGAACGAGAAUGCCACCACGUGCGGAACAGCACGCGCGACAGACGGGAACAUGCUAAAUAGAGAACAUGUUUACACUAAACAAACAUUAAAUAAAUAAAAAAUAUUUAAGUUAACAUUAACCAUGGUAAUGUUUAUUAUCCAAGCGCAAGUUAAAAACUAUACAUAAUCAAAUUGGAAUAUUAAUCUAAUCAACUUUAGUCGAGCAAACAUUAAAUGAAUUAUUUAAAUUAUGUGACCCGACAAAUUAACGUUAUUAACUCAUAAGCGAAAACAAUUUAUAUCGUGCGACACUGUACAAAACAGCGCACGCGAACAGCGCGAAUGACGCGCGAAACACCACGACAGCGUGCAAACGACGUGCGGACACGCGCGACAUAGCACGCUGACGACACACGAAACAGCACGCGUGACGAGCGCAUCACGCACGAACAGCACGCAGACAACACCUACGACACGCGAGAAUUACUAAUAAUCAUCGCGUUCACAAAACAUUUGUGGUGGCAUUAAUCAUGUUAAUCGGUAUUUUCAAAGCGCCAAUUAAAAUUAUAAGUCAGGGUUAAUUAGAUCCCUAUUUUAAUAAUUAUCAAUUAACUAAAUAAUUAACGAAAGCCUGUGUCGCGACAAAAUAAUGCUACUAACGUGCGGGGUAGGUGAACAGGUUCGAGGGGGUAGACGAGCGUCGUUUAUGGGUAGACGAACAUCGUCUAGGGGUAGACGGAUAUCGUCGGGACCCCGGCUACACGCUGCGCGUACGCGAAACAACGCGCACAACACCGUGCGACACGCGCGAGUCAACGCGACUACGCGCGCGAAUAGCACAAUGACGCGCAAACGAUGCCGCGCGCGAACAACAACAAACAAAUAAUUAGUUAAAAGUAUUUAAGCUGAUAUUGAUCAAGUUAAUUAACGUUUAUUUAUAAUAGUGUGAGUUAAAACUAUAAAACAGUUUUAAUUAGAAGGUCAUUUUAAUAAGUAUCGAAUGAAUAGCUAAUUAAAUAAUAUAGACUUGGGACAUGAUGAAAUACAUUACUAAUACAAAAUCGAUGCGACUGAACAAUUAAUUUAGAACGAACACGGUAUUGCCGCAGCGCUAAUCGAUAUCGUGUCUACACUAACCAAACAUAAAUGAAAACGCUUCGGAUUGACACAACUACCUUAAUAGCUAUUGACGAAGUGUAUAAUUAAAAUUACCAGUUCGUUUUCGGUUGAAUUGUUAUUUUAAUAGCCGACCACUAAACAACUAAUUACUAAUUAAUUAUUCAACAUACACGAAGUGGCGAAACGAUUUUACUAGACGCGCAACUUAAAAUCAUAAACUAGUUUUGACUACAUUGCUACGCUAAUAACCAACGGAUAGACUGACAAUUAAGUAAAUAAAACAAACAUACAUCAUGACAAAAUAACAUGUUUAACGUGUAUACACCAUUAUUAUGAAGUUAACGCCACACAAAUAGAUCAAAACAAAUACAUAAUGCGAAAGCUAAUGCUUAGUUAAUAAUUUCAGAUUUCAUGCGAAGGCACGACGCAAAGGCGAGGCGCGGGAGUUGGUAGACGUUUAGGGGUAGACGACGACGGGUAGACAAUGUUCUCACCUCGGCGUGAGAUGGGCUUGACGUAGGUAGCUUUGGGCCCGACGAUGUUGAUGGGCGUGACGGUGAUGAUGGGGCGCGACUCCCUGCUCGACAAUGGGCCUGGGGCAGGCGAGGACUCUGGCGUGCGACGGCGUCGAGGCUUCGGCUAGGCGACGGUGAGGCAUGCAGGCUGCGCGACGGCGACUGCUGUGUGAGGCUCAGUGGGCACGCGACACGACGGCUGGUGAGGGCAAGCACACGAACGCUAGGUGUGGCGCGACAACGACGAGUACCCUCUAGCCGCGACUGAUGGGCUUGCUGGCCACGCUCGGUCAGGGAGCCGCACAUGGAGCAAGGGAGGGGCAGGGCACGGGAGGCCCUGAGGGCACGCGCCGCGGACGAGCUUCGUCAACCAGCGACCGCCGGGACGCAGGGGCGAGGGGAAAAGGUGAGUAGAGGCAUGACGUCGUGCGCGCAGGGACACAGGUGGCUGGCCGCACGACAGAGCUGCACACUGGAAAGCUCUCGCUGCGCAGCGCGAUGACGGGGAAGAGGGUCGGACGAGAGGGAGAGAGGAGUGGUUUUGUGGGGAAGAAGAAUAGUGGGGUGGGUUUUAGCUACGGCCGAGCGUGGGCGCGCGACGUGGGGGAUGAACGCGGCUGGCGACGUGCGCGAGUGGCGGCGGCUGGGAGCGGCUUAGGGGACGCGGCUGCUGGCUACGCGGGGGAAGAAGCAUGCAGGCGCGUGGGCUAGCCAGGGCGUGGGCGCGCUCUGCGUGCUCCGGGCCGCGCGGGUGGCUGGGGGGUGGUGCAGGCCACACGCACAGGCGGGCUGGGGAUGUCGCGCGCGAGCUGGGCCGCGGAGGGGUGCGCGGGCGCCUGGGCCGCGGAGAAGGUCGAGCGCGCGCUAGGUGGUCCGGCCCAACCGCGAGAGCGACGCGGGGCUGGGGUGGGCUGCUGAACGCGGCGCGGCCGAGGCUGGCUGCUAGGCGCAGCGGCGGAGGUGGGCCAGGGGUGGGGGAAGGGGGAAAACGGGCCGGGCCAGCUGAGGCCGAAAGGAGGGGGCUGGUGUGGUUUUCCCUUUUUUAUUUCUUCUUCUUUUCUUUAUCCACUUCUUUCCAAACUUGAGCACAACUCACAAUUCUCAAUGAAUGCACAACAAUCACUCUUCAAACAAAAUACUCAUGUGAUCCAGCAUGAUACAACAAUCAAAACUCCUUUAAGAUUUUAUUUUACUUGGUUUACACAUAUAAAACAAAAUAAUUCUUCACCCUUUAGGAAAAAGAAAAGAAAACUAAGGAAACGAGAGAGUAACACCUGAAUUUGGUGGAUAUUAGAAAAGAAAUUUCAUACCCCCAAAUUCAGGGUGUUACAUUGCCCCCCCACCCCCAAAUGCAAAACCUUCCUAUGGCUGGCCAUACGAAAUAGGUGUUGGACAGCUGACAGAUUACGAAAGCGUGGUAUGCCCCACCCGGUUGUUUGUCCCCUUUGUGAUCAAGAGCAGGAGACAAUUCAACAUCUCCUAACUACAUGUGUUUUUGCACGUCAGUUCUGGCAUGGCAUUCUAGCCCCUUUUAACCUAGGACACAGUUCUCCUGCGCGUUCUAUAUAAAAAAAUAAUAAAAAAAAACCUAGGACACCUUAUUCCUAGUCCUGUGGAGGCCUCCUUUGUGGAGUGGUCGGAAGGAGUGAUCAAUCAGAUCCACAAAGACAAGAAGAAGGGCUUCAACAGUGCUAUCAUCCUUGGGGCAUGGUGCCUUUGGCUUCAUAGGAACCGAGUGAUCUUCCAUGAGGAGUCCCCUUCCAUUGCAAAGACCAAAGAAGAAUGAAGGUGGUAGAGAUAGGGGGAGCUCAGGAACUGCUUAAUGUAUUGGAAGGUGCUAAAGAUGAUAAAACACGAAAAGAAACUCUAAAAGCUCUUGCUGCGCUUUCAAAAUCUGAAGAAGCUGCAGGAUUUUUGGACAAGGUCGGCGCCUACGCUAUAGUCAGUUCCACUCCCGACUCUCAAGAAUAUGCUGAGAUCCAAACUUACAAGACCAGUCUUCUGACGGCAUUUGAUCAACUGAAGUCAUGAUGUCCAAAUGCCAAUGGGUAUAUUAAGCAACAUUUUAACUCUGCACUUUGCCGUGGCGGUUAAUGUUCUAGUUUCUUGAAUCGACGCAAUUUAUCUCUAGAACAUGCUGGACCUCCUUUGUUGACCAAGUGGGUUGCUGAUGGAAAUGCAUGUCUGGUUCAUUUGUUUCAAACAGGACAGUACAUUCUUUCCUUCUGUGGGCCAAUAACAAGAGCUUUAAUUUAUUUAUUUUCUUGGUAUAAAGUGGGUUGCAAUCCAAACAGAUUGCAUUUGGACAGUUGCAACUGUACACUCAUUUAGGAAGGAUAGGCCUAGCGGCAAUUGUGAGAAGCCUUUUCACUGAGUCAAAUGACCUAGGUUCGACAGUCUCUAUGCAAAAAUGUAGGAAUAAAAUUUGCCUCGGUUUUUUAGACCGCAA